GAAAGUCUGGGCUUCGGCCCUCUCUCUUCUACACACUUGUGAAUCUACACUGUUGCUUUGGCAGGUAUCCUGAAUGGCGCAAGCUUGAAAGGUUAAACUGAAAGGUGCCUGCCAAAGACAUUUAUCCACCCUUUUUAUAUCGUCUGAUUUUUGUUUAAAACAAAUUAUAAUAAAACUUUCAACAAUGGAUCUCUUGGCUCU
rnacentral:misc_RNA from 1 species